UGCAACAUGGUUAUUGUCGAUUACAUUCUGGCUGUCGUGGAUUACAUCGUACCUGUCGUGGAUUUCAUCGUGGUUGUCGUGGAUUACAUCGUGGCUGUCGUGGAUUACGUCAUGGUUGUCGUGGAUUACAUCGUGGCUGUCGUGGAUUACGUCAUGGUUGUCGUGGAUUACAUCGUUGUUGUCGUGGAUUUUGUCAAACUAAUAUUGGGCUAAGGAUUACGUUAAUCUAUGAAUGAAGAACGACGACGAGCAAUGGUGUGAUAAUCAAACGUUAACGUACCGUUCAUAAACUUUGUUGUUUCACUUCAAAAUCUAUUUGACAUUGUGCCACACGAGUUAAAAAACACACGAUAAUUUCAUGGUGGUUUGUUGAAUUAUGAUAUGUAUCAAGAUUUGAGGGAAUCACAAAAGUUAUCAACAGAAUAAAUCCUAACACUACGUGUUGAUUGUCAGAGUAUGUUUCAUCCUAUGAACAAAACCACCUUACACAACACUGCUGGAAGUUUUAAAGAGGCAGUUGGUGCUCAUGACGAUCAAUUUAUAGUCCACGAAUGAAGACCAAAGACGACGUUUAAGGUAGCAAGUUUAUAGUGUUUUAGUUAAAGUCCUGGUGAUCUAUACUAACAGGAAGAUGAUUGAUCAUUGGCUGAGUGAAUAACAAAGUUAGUGAAUAACAAAGAAAUGAGCAUGGGUUUCUUUGAGUUUUGGUCCUGUUUAUUAUCUUGUAUAUUAUACUUCUUAAAACUGAAUCAUAUGUAUAUUUAGUUAUCAAACUA